AGAGUUUGAUCAUGGCUCAGAUUGAACGCUGGCGGCAUGCCUAACACAUGCAAGUCGAACGGCAGCACAAUGAGUAGCAAUACUUAUGGGUGGCGAGUGGCGGACGGGUGAGUAACGCAUAGGAAUCUGCCUUACAGACUGGGACAACUUGGGGAAACUUGAGCUAAUACCGGAUAAUCUCUACGGAGGAAAGGAUGGGACUUGAAAGAGCCAUACGCUGAAAGAUGAGCCUAUGUCGGAUUAGCUAGUUGGUGGGGUAAAGGCCUACCAAGGCGAUGAUCUGUAGCUGGUCUGAGAGGAUGGACAGCCACACUGGGACUGAGACACGGCCCAGACUCCUACGGGAGGCAGCAGUGGGGAAUAUUGGACAAUGGGGGGAACCCUGAUCCAGCGAUGCCGCGUGUGCGAAGAAGGCCUGCGGGUUGUAAAGCACUUUGGUUGGGGAAGAAGGUUGGUGGUUGAAUAGGCUACUGAAUUGACGUUACCCAAAGAACAAGCACCGGCUAACUCUGUGCCAGCAGCCGCGGUAAUACAGAGGGUGCGAGCGUUAAUCGGAAUUACUGGGCGUAAAGGGUGCGUAGGCGGAUGAUUAAGUUAGAUGUGAAAUCCCCGGGCUUAACCUGGGAAUUGCAUUUAAGACUGGUUGACUAGAGUAGAGUAGAGGGAAGUGGAAUUUCCGGUGUAGCGGUGAAAUGCGUAGAUAUCGGAAAGAACAUCAGUGGCGAAGGCGGCUUCCUGGACUCAUACUGACGCUGAGGCACGAAAGCAUGGGGAGCAAACAGGAUUAGAUACCCCCGUAGUCC
rnacentral:rRNA from 1 species